UAAAAUAUGAAAACAUUUUAUAUAUAUUAUAAAAGCCACACUGACAUGAAAUCAAAACAGGAUACAAUGUACACAGGGUUAUUUCUCCUUUUAAAAAGUCCUUACUGAGCUGCAACUAGGUUAAUGUUGAAAGUACAUAGUGCUUAUAUACAUAUUGAUGUACUUACACAUUUCAUAGUUCACAUAUCUGCAUCUCCCCUAUCCACGUGCCCACAGCCACAGAGCACAAAGCACAGCAGUCUCAGCCACCCACACACCCAUCUCCCAUAGCACAGGGACUUAGGGAGCUCUGUGCAGCAUUGCACUCUGCCUGUAUGUUGUUGUGACAAACCCUUGCCUUGCAACAGGUGCAGCCCCCACUGCCCUGCAGCUCCAGGAGAGAAAAAUGGGGGUUUUUAGGCCUAGCAGCAGGCCCAGCUCUGCGAGCAUCCCUGUCUCUAAGGGAAUGGCAAAGGGGUUAAUGGCAUCAAGAGCGACAGCACCGCUCAUCCCAACCCAAACUCAUCCAAACCCAAACUGCUAAACUGGGGUGCUGAAACGUUUCAGUAACAAUUUUAUAAAAAAUAACAAUAAUAAUUAUUAGGCACCGAUUUCCAACCAGGCAUUUUUAUCUAAAUUUCCCACUCUUUGCUUCUAUCACCCAAUUGAUUACAUGAAUGCACCAUUCCAGCACUGCUCCUGGAGGUACUGCGGUGUGCUGACAUUUCUCACUAACAGCGAGCUGGAAUUGAAAGCAAAUGUGGCUGCUGAGCUCACGGUGCGAAGGAAAGUUGCAGAACGCACCAGAACACAUCACAGAACAUAUCUCCAUCAGACAUAACUUGUUUUUCCCCUCCAUGAAACGCAGAACUCAGAAAGAUGGGUGCGAUUUUAAUAAGGAACUUCAAGGAUGGGCGACCAUAAAACGCACCGCGAAUUAAAAAAGGGGAGAGCGGAUGCCAGGAAAUAAAGCACAGCCAAAUCUGUGCCUGAGAUGCGCACCAGAGGAGAGGCUGGCGAGAGAAAAGCGGAGCGCACGGAACUUCCUAUUUGCUAUUUUGAACGGAAGGCGGACGCGCAGCGCUCGGUCACAGCCCACUUCCGACGGCCGCCAAGUGUCACCGCGGGUGGGGGGGGGUGGGGGUCGGACGGGGCGGUCAACGAGCGCUCCAUGGGAGCCGGGCAGAGCCGCGCAACGAAGAGCCCCUUCGGAAACCAAAUAAGAACACGAGGAACGGGAAGACGAGCGCGCUGAAUGAGAACGCAGCACUGCGUUCCCACGCCGCCGCUCUGCGCGUCCGGUUGCGCGGCCACCCCGCCCUGCGCGCUCCGGAGGCUACCACACGCCGUGAGGUGGUAGAGCUGAUACCGACCGAGUCCCGAUGCUGACUUACAGCAGGAAGCAGCUCCCCAGCAGCUCAGCACAACGGAUCUGGAUGGAGCCCCAUGAGCCACGCAGCCAGCAGAGCCCCCAGCCGCUGCCAGGCCGCAGUGGCUGUGACACCUCUCCCAGCCCUGGCAUCUGCAGCCAUCGAUAAAGUGACCCAGCGAAUGAAUAAAAUACAGAUCACGAAGCUUACCGUUUUAUUAAAGGAUAAUUUUGCGAUAACCAAGUAAUGUGGAUGCUUCCAAGCAUAAGAUUAAAUUACAUGCUGAGCAAAUCUGGCGUUUUGUGAUAAACUACAAAAAUAGUCUUUGCAACUGAGGAAGAACGUUGCUGACAUCGUCCAUAAACAUGUUUUAUAAAGCAUCACCAAGAGUAACAAAAAAAAAGUCACUGAAGUGAUGGUUGGAAAAUUCACUUCCAUAUCCACUAUAAUUACUUCUGAGACUUCUUGCUUUGCAAUUUAUUCCUUCAAAUACAUUGAAGGAAUGUACUGCUCGGUGUCAGAAGUUAACACAACUCUCCCCUAUGCAGGCGAAUAUUAUAAAGCCAAAUUAAUUCCUUAACUGAUCUGACAUCAGCCAUCGUUGUUAUGGGAAUACACAAAGAUUCCCAGCACCUCUGUGCUGACAAGGAAUUUAGGGAAGCACUCAAAGCCCAGUGGCACAGCCGACAGACAGAUGUCUGCCAUCACCAUCCCCAAAUCAGCCCUAGUCCUCUGCAUCGCCAAAUAUGUCGUGCUCUCACACAGCCCUCACACGCUCACAGCCUUGCCAGCUCUUCCAAAGAUUGCUCUUACAGUAGGACAUCCAUCAUCUCCUGGAAUUGUACUUUUAAGUUGCACCGCUUCAGAACUGAAUGGAGUCCCUGGGUAUUUUAUAUGCCUAAGAUACAGAACUCCCACGGACUUCCCAGCUAAACACAGGACACAAGGUCUUUCCCAUCCUUCUUGCUAACUAAUAAGUAAUGGAGGCUUAAUUCUGAGACGCUGUCAUGAAACAAAAAUCAAAUAGAGCCUAAGUGAUAUAAAACAGCAUUUGUUUCUAUUAGAUCCAUUAUGAAUUGAAUUCCUGUUUUAAAACAAAUGACAUUUAAUAAUAUAUUAAACAUGUAAACAGGAACAUAUUUGAAGUUAUAACCUCAUCAGCUCUUUCUCAUGACAUUCAUUUUCUCCAAGGCCAUCUCCACAUUUCAAUUUAAUCGUUUAUAGAACAUUGCUAAGUUAAUAAGCAGACAUGGUACCUUAAAAAUGGCUUCCUCCCUGGGUAAGCUGCUGUCUUCCUUAACUACAGCAACUUAGAUUGGUAGGAAAAUAAAUCUGUUCUCUGGCAUAUUGUUAGCAACUUGAAAUUUAUUAUAAGAUGUUCUUUUUCUUCAAGUAUUUUUAUUUGGAAAACGUAACCAAUUAUUCCUGCUUACAAAGGACCGUUUGUUUCAAGAUUUUACAAAUUUUCUGCAUGGCGAUCAUUUCAUUUCCAAAGAAAAUAUCCACGCUGCUAUGAAUCUUUUCAGCCACCAAAGCACGACUACACGCAGCAGCAAUGCAUAUUUUAGAGAAGAAGCAAACAGGACAAGUUUCAGAACUACACCCACCACCCUGAAGACAAGAUGAGGCGAGAGCAUUUUUCCUUACCAUAAAUUACCACUGCCUCCUAUAAGCAAUUAUUUAACUUCUAAAAUAGCUGCAACGCAGACAAAUUACAAGCUGUAAUUACGCAAAUGAAUCCCUGAUACUAUAUGCACACAUGCAUAUAUGUAUAUCUUCAUCUAUUCUAAAAUGCAUCUGUAUGCAUAAUGUUAAGAAUUAUAAUCAAGUAUAGUAUACCAGGUCAUAUUUACCUUAUCACUCCAGAUGACAGUGUUUCUAUCCUAAAUAUGUGAAAACCAUUUCAGUAGUCAAAAAUGCCCACUGCUGCUCUUCAUUCACACAGAACCAGUCCCCUAACCCACUAGCACCUUCCCAGUACCUGAAUGCUGGAUGUAUUGGCAGCAUCUUGCAUAGCUGGCCAGUUCUCAGCUGCUUUGGACACUGGACACUGUGCUGGACAGCACUUACUGUCUGAUAUCUUAAGUCACACCACGAAAACAAAUUUAAAUUUGAACGUUCCUGAACUAUUCUGCCAUGCUCUGAAAGGACACUGUCAGGUCUUGGUAGGAAACAACUCCUGCCAAAGGAGCAGGAGUUCUGCUCAGCCUCCAUCACAACGAGAAGCGCUGCCGUUCUCUUGUUCAUACAUCAAAUUUGCCAGAUAUUCAUCUUAGACACUGGACAACACGGUGGAUCUCUAACAUAACCACUGCUUUAAGGUCUCUUAACCUCCACACCUCUGCAUAUGGCUUCUUGUUUGCCCAGGGCUUGUACUAGUGCUCACUGAAUUAGGGAAUGACAGAGGAGGUGACACCACGGAGAGGUCUAAAGGGUGGGUUAGGCAAUCUCCAUAUGCUCAGUGGUUUGAGUAUUUCUUUUAUUCACUUCCUAAAACACCAAAUUUACAGUAUUCAUCAUACAAUGAAUAUUACAUAACAAUGAUCUCGGGUGAGCUUUUACUUAACAUUACUCUUUGCACUCUUACAGGGUUUUAAAAUGCCAGAUUCCCACAUAUCUGUGUUUUCCAGGGAAAUUUAAUAAAAAGAUGGCAAUCUAA